UAGCGGUGAAAUGCGUAGAGAUCUGGAGGAAUACCGGUGGCGAAGGCGGCCCCCUGGACGAAGACUGACGCUCAGGUGCGAAAGCGUGGGGAGCAAACAGGAUUAGAUACCCUGGUAGUCCACGCCGUAAACGAUGUCGACUUGGAGGUUGUGCCCUUGAGGCGUGGCUUCCGGAGCUAACGCGUUAAGUCGACCGCCUGGGGAGUACGGCCGCAAGGUUAAAACUCAAAUGAAUUGACGGGGGCCCGCACAAGCGGUGGAGCAUGUGGUUUAAUUCGAUGCAACGCGAAGAACCUUACCUGGUCUUGACAUCCACGGAAGUUUUCAGAGAUGAGAAUGUGCCUUCGGGAACCGUGAGACAGGUGCUGCAUGGCUGUCGUCAGCUCGUGUUGUGAAAUGUUGGGUUAAGUCCCGCAACGAGCGCAACCCUUAUCCUUUGUUGCCAGCGGUCCGGCCGGGAACUCAAAGGAGACUGCCAGUGAUAAACUGGAGGAAGGUGGGGAUGACGUCAAGUCAUCAUGGCCCUUACGACCAGGGCUACACACGUGCUACAAUGGCGCAUACAAAGAGAAGCGACCUCGCGAGAGCAAGCGGACCUCAUAAAGUGCGUCGUAGUCCGGAUUGGAGUCUGCAACUCGACUCCAUGAAGUCGGAAUCGCUAGUAAUCGUGGAUCAGAAUGCCACGGUGAAUACGUUCCCGGGCCUUGUACACACCGCCCGUCACACCAUGGGAGUGGGUUGCAAAAGAAGUAGGUAGCUUAACCUUCGGGAGGGCGCUUACCACUUUGUGAUUCAUGACUGGGGUGAAGUCGUAACAAGGUAACCGUAGGGGAACCUGCGGUUGGAUCACCUCCUUACCUUAAAGAAGC
rnacentral:rRNA from 1 species